UAAGACGAACCGUGCGAACGUUAUUCGGAAUCACUGGGCUUAAAGGGCGCGUAGGCGGGUAGAUAAGUCGAGGGUGAAAGCCUCUAGCUUAACUAGAGAAGUGCCCUCGAAACUAUUUGUCUUGAGAGAGAUAGGGGCAUACGGAACUUCCGGUGGAGCGGUGAAAUGCGUAGAGAUCGGAAGGAACGCCGGUGGCGAAAGCGGUAUGCUGGAUCUUUUCUGACGCUGAGGCGCGAAAGCUAGGGGAGCGAACGGGAUUAGAUACCCCGGUAGUCCUAGCCCUAAACGAUGAGUACUAGAUUGUGGGCUGACAUGGGCUCACAGUCGAAGCAAAAGUAUUAAGUACUCCGCCUGGGGAGUAUGGUCGCAAGGCUG
rnacentral:rRNA from 1 species